rnacentral:rRNA from 1 species
UACGUAGGUGGCAAGCGUUGUCCGGAUUUACUGGGCGUAAGGAGCGCGCAGGCGGUCGUUCAAGUCGCGUGUGAAAGCCCCCGGCUCAACUGGGGAGGGUCACGCGAUACUGAUCGACUCGAAGGCAGGAGAGGGAAGUGGAAUUCCCGGUGUAGUGGUGAAAUGCGUAGAUAUCGGGAGGAACACCAGUGGCGAAGGCGACUUCCUGGCCUGUUCUUGACGCUGAGGCGCGAAAGCUAGGGGAGCAAACGGG